UACGAAGGGUGCAAGCGUUACUCGGAAUUACUGGGCGUAAAGCGUGCGUAGGUGGUUUGUUAAGUCUGUUGUGAAAGCCCCGGGCUCAACCUGGGAAUGGCAAUGGAUACUGGCAAGCUAGAGUGCGGUAGAGGGUAGUGGAAUUCCCGGGUGUAGCGGUGAAAUGCGUAGAGGAUCGGGAGGAACACCAGUGCGAAGGCGGCGUACCUGGACCGAGCACUCG
rnacentral:rRNA from 1 species